UCUAAAACUUUAUCUUUUGGUUUCCUUUUGCUGGUGAGUUUGGGCUUAGCUUCGGCGGCCCGAUCUCUUCUUUCUUACGAUAUUCCUCCUCAUCGAUCUGGAUACGAUAAUUAUGAUCAUCCUGUAGUUAACCCUAAAGUAGGAUACGAACAUGACCGUCGUGAUGGAUACUACCAUGACCGUGACCAUCAUGAUGCACCUUAUGGUGGUGGUGCUGGUGGAGGAUAUGGAGCUGGAGCUGGAGCUGGCUCAUCUCUUGGAGGCUCUGGAUAUGGAAGUGGAGGAGGUGGUGGUUCUGGAUAUGGAGGUGUAGGAAACCACGAGGUUGGUUAUGGUAGUGGUGGAGGGGGUGGAUAUGGAGCUGGAGUUGGCUCUGACCUUGGUGGUAGCGGAUACGGAAGCGGUGGUGGUGGAGGCAGUGGAGGAGGAUACGGUGAUUUAGGAGGACGUGGAAAAGGGUACGGUAGCGGUGGAGGUGGAGGAAGUGGAUAUGGAGGUAGAGGAGACCAUGGAGUUGGUUAUGGAAGUGGUGGAGGUGGAGGAUAUGGAAGUGGAGUAGGUGGUGGUGCAGGAGUGGUAGACCAUGGUGUAGGUUAUGGGAGUGGAGGAGGAGGUGGGGCUGGUAGUGGUUAUGGUGGUUCCAAAGGAUAUGGAGGUGGAAGCGGCGGCGGUGGGGGAGCCGGUUAUGGUGGUGGAGCACAUGGAAGUGGAUAUGGAAGUGGUGGUGGAGCUGGAAGUGGUGAAGAAGGAGGAUAUGAUGGUGGAUAUGCACCGUAAACAAAGAAAAGAAAAGAAAAAGCUCAAAGUUUUAUGGCUAAAAUGAGAAUGCUUACCCUAAUAUCAUCAAUGUGUGUGUGUGUUAGCAAAAAAAAAAAAUAAAAGAAUUUGGGUAAGAAAUGUUAUAUUAAUUAUCUUUGAGCUUUUAAGUAAUUUGAAUGUAAUAUAAUAUAUAUAUAAAAAAAGCUAAUCCAUGUGUUCCAAAGUGAACCAACAUGAAGUAUAUUUUCUCCCUUUGUCAUCAUGAUCAUCUUAAACUUGUGGUUAUUAUGUGGGCUCUCAUUAUUAUUCCAAGAUAGCAACGUCGGGAUAUUCAAAUAUUUUUCAUAUGUAAUGUCUUAAGACUAAAUCACUAUGAUCUAUAUGCUUUAAUUAAGUUCAAAACUAUUUUGGAAGCAUUAUGAUUAAUAUAUUGAUUACUUAAAUACUAUUAUAUGGUUUUCAAGGUAACUUGAUGUUGUUAAUAAAAGAAAUCUUUAAUAUUUAAUCAGUCCUUUCUCUUAAAAUUUAGUAAAAAUAAAUACUAAAAUGGUAUGAUGUUUUAUGGUUGGAUUUGGGGUAUGUGUUUUGGCUUGUCCCUCUAGUUGUGACUUGUUCAAAAUAAGUGUACAAUCAAAUUCACUUGGGUUAUUAAAGACAAUUGAUAAACAAAAAUUGCCAAAACGAUAGAGCAUAACUAUUUAAUCGGUAUAAAACUUGUACAAUCCAUUAAUCAUAAUAUACUUUUUCUAAUUGAUCUCUAAUUGAUCGUACAUACUAGUUAGUGUCGAUAAAAAACUCAAUUUGACGUAUAAAUAUUUGUUUGUUGUAAAUGAACAUCUAAGUAUAUUCUUGAUUAAUUAUUCUUAUACUAAGAGUAACAUUGACCCCUCUAUUCUUUAGUAUUUGGUUAAAAGAAUAAAAAAUUAGUAAGUGAUGAAUCUUAGUGUGCUAUAGGUUGAUCAACCAAUUAAAAUUAGUCGUUUCAAGCAAUACUUUCGAAAAAAUUCAUUAAAUAGGAGUUAUUUAAACUAUCAACCCUGAGUUUUUAUACAUUACAAUAAAUUUAAUCUUUGAUGUCGGUCAAAAACUAAUAUAUAGGAGUACAAUAUAGAUCACCAGAUCGAUAUGGAAGACAAUGUUAUGGAAGAUGUUCAAUGUUAAUCACUUUUAUGUUCGUUUUGGUCUUGGCAUUAUAAAUAAUUUAAAUGGUAGUUUUUGCUCACACUACAAAUGUGUUAGACUAUUAGUCAUCAAAUAGUUUGAAUUCCUUGUAAAAAAAAUUAGUUGAAACAAAAAUAAAUAAUUAUCUUUGCAUUAAAAUAAAAUAAAAUAAAUAAAAUAGAUUUUUUUGUGAAUAUUUUGGUCAGGUGUUCUAUUUUUUAUAAUUUCCCAUAAAAAAUAUGUGUAAUAAGUUAUUUAAAAUACUAAUAGUAUUAAUUAGUUUACUUAAUAAAUCAAUUAUAUCUCUAAAUGAUAUUUUGGUAGAUUUAAAAAUAUUUUGAUUCAUUUUGCUAUAUUUGAAAAAGAAACCAUAAAAUUCUACUUCAUAUUCGCAAUAGAUCAUGGUAAACUUAGAUAGGCAUCUAUUAUUUAUAUAUAUGGUGAUAGAUACUUAUGUAUCUAUAUCCAAGCCCAUCAUCUAAAUAUUUUCAAAUGGUUUUCAAUUGAAAACAAAUUUCUCAAUAAGUAAUUAAAAAUUAGGUUUUUAUUCACUAAUAAUUAUUAUUUAAAUGUGAACAAAUAAAGUUUAGCUCGUAUAUAAUGGGUCAGUAGGUACACUCGGAUAUCUCCACUAGAUGGACACCCCUUAGCACCCUCAUUAUCUCCGUUUCAUUAAUAUAAAAAAUCGAAUUGAAUACACGAGAAGUAAAGAGAACAACCCAAACAAAAAACAAAGAACUAGAGACAAGCCCAAAACAAGUACAAACAAUUAGAAAGCAUGAAGAAAUUAGUGCUUUAAACCCCUAAACCGCAAUGUUACUUAACAAAUAAAAUUGUUAUUUAAAAGUUUGAAGUUAUUAUUGAGUUUUAUUUUAGCAAAUUAAUCAUCUCUUAAAUUAAAAAUCUCAAACAUACAUGGAAGAUAAGAUCAAUUAAGCACAUGUUGGAUGAAUUUUGUUCGAAUAAAAAUUAAAACAACUUAUUGUUAUCAACUUAUAAGUUAUAUAUAUGAUGAUGGUGGUGCAGAGGUGAAAACUUAGUUUGAGAUCUCUCCCUACAUCUACUAUGCUUUUACGUUCUAAUGUAUUUUGUGGUAAAAAAAUCAAUUAUAAACUUUUAAGAAAAAUUUUCAUAUGUUAUUAUUUUUUCUCUAAAUUCUAAACUAGCCAGGUUAUCAACAAAACAAAUACCACUAGAGUUUAAGGGAUUAGGAAGCAUAUAUGAAUAUCUCAACUUGGUUAACACGUCGUUUUUAAACAUUUCUCAUCAGGUUGCUGUUUCAAAAGUGAUGCACUGAUGUGAAGAAACAUAUAGGAGAAAAGUGAGAUGGAAAGUUAGUAUAUUGGACAGAGUACAUAGUACAUAGUAGGUUUAUUAAUUAAUUUAUCCAAAUGAUAAUCUCAUUACCAAGCACUAUGUGAUUUAGAUAUGAAUAAAAUGUGAUCAUUUUUCCACCACUAUUACAUAGCAAAUGGGAAAACAUCUCAUUGUGGUUUGAUAUUUUAAAAAACAAUUAUGGUAAUGCAAGUCGUCUCAUAUCCCAUAAUAUUAUCUCAGUCUCAUGGCGACUGAUACAAAAGGACAAAACUAACUUCAUUAAAAUAUGUUCUCUCCUUCCUACACUUUUUAGGUAUAUAUCAUUCAUAUAUUAAUCACUGCAAUUGGUUAGGUGGACUACAAAAACAUAGAUAUAGUCCGAGAUAAAAUUAAGUACGGUUAUAUUUUACGAGACUUUUGAUGUGUUUGAUUACAUUUUCAUGUGUUUCUUUUAGAAAAUAAGUUAUUUUGAAAAAACUAAAGUAUUUUAAACAAUUUUUAGAACAAUCAAUUUCUUGAAAAAUAUUUUUUUCUUAAUUCAAUCUAAGAUGGAUCCUCAAAAUAUUUGAGGGUAGUUCUUUUAUAAAAGUAUUUACACUAGGUUGGUUUAUGAAGUAAAAUAUUGAUCGGUAAAUUCAAGUUUUAAAUUAGAAAAAUUGAAUAUUUUUAAAAAUAGAAGAAUUGGCUAACUAUUUACAACUCAUACCAAAAUUUUAAUACAAAUCCAAAGUAUCUAUUUUUUAUUUUAUUAUUAUUAUUAUUUUUUGCUAUAGGAUGUAAAUACUAUCUGUUUUCUUGUAAAUUUCUCUUACAAUCCUCUACGAGAAAGUCUUAAUUUUUAUAUUUAUGAUUUAUAUUAUAAUAUAAUUAUUUGGAACCAUAUAAUAAAUAAAAGGAAAAUUGUAAAACAUAACAUUUGACAAAAUAUCUUCGUAGAAAAAUUUGUUGUGUAAUCAAUUUUGAGGUUUUGUUAUAUGGAGCGUAAAUAUUUUGUCAAAUUUUCUAUUUGUGAAAAAAAAAACUUAUAGGUAAUUUGAAAGGUAAGUGAUCUUGUUUAAGAUCCAAAUUUCUUUUAUGAAAGUUUAAUUUAGAAUACAUACGAGAAAAAUAGAUUAAUCUAGAAUGAUAAAUGUAAGAUAGGUUUGGGAAGUACCAAUAAAUUUUAGGCAUGUGAUAGACUAUAACUGUGAAGAUAUAUAGUCUAUUGCUAUCUUGAAUGGCUCAUUCUUGUUUGAAAAUGACCUUAUUUAAAACACAACUUUUUUAUAAAAGAAAAUCCCUUGCAUCAUUCAAACAAUCUUACAAGAUCGUAUUAGUGGAAGAUGAGAUAGAAUUCUGACAUGUGUAUUAUUAGUAUACUUGAAUAGUUUCUUAUCUAACUUUUGAGCAAGUAGUGGAGAAGCUGAUCAUGAACCCUAAACCCACCGUAUCAUUCACUAUAUAAAGGAGAUCACUACAUGCAUUCUAAGGCAUCCCUUCUCCAAAUGGCUAUCUUUAGAACUUUCUCUUUCGGUUUUCUUUUGUUGGUGAGUUUAGGCUUAGCUUCUGCGACCAGAAGUCUUCUCACCUAUGAUCCACCACAUCACUCUGUAUAUGAUGAUCAUAACACUAAAGUAGGUUACGGACGUGACCAUCAUGAUCAACCUUAUGGUGGUGGUGUUGGUGCUAGUGGAGGAUAUGGAGCCGGAGCUGGCUCUGGAUAUGGAGGUGUAGGAUACGAACAUGACCAUCAUGAUGGAUACGAACGUGAUCAUGAUCGAUCUUAUGGUGGUAGUGCUGGUGGAGGAUAUGGAGUUGGAGCUGGCUCCUCUCUUGGAGGCUCUGGAUAUGGAAACGUAGAUCAUGGGGUUGGUUAUAGCAAUGGUGGAAGUGGUGGAUAUGGAGCUGGUGUUGGCUCUGACCUUGGUGGUAGCGGAUAUGGAAGCGGUAAUGGCGGAGCAAGUGGAAGUGGAAAUGGUGAUUUAGGAGGACGUGGAAAAGGCUACGGUCGCGGUGGUGUUGGAGGAAAUGGAUAUGGAGGUAGAGGAGACCAUGGCCGAGUAGUAGGCCAUGAUGAUGUAGUUUAUGGUGGUUCCAAAGGAUAUGGAGGUGGAAGUGGCGUCGGUGGGGGAGCUGGUUAUAGCGGUGGAGCAAGUGGAAGUGGAUAUGGAAGUGGUGGUGGAGCUGGAAGUGGAAG
rnacentral:lncRNA from 1 species